UUUCUCUUUUUAUUUUAUUUUUGUUGAAAGUUUUUUUUCUCUUCUUUCUGACAAACUAUAACUUUCUCAUAAAAAAAACCUUCCUCAUGUCUGUUUCCAGAAGCGUUUUCUACUCUCUUUUUUUUCUCUGUUCUGUUUCCAGAGCAACACGAGAAAAACAAAACUUGAUCUUUUGGUGGUUUGAUUUUUGUUUCAGAAGAAUCAGAACAAUGAUUUUGUUGUGAGUUAUCUCUAUAGGAUUGGAGGAGGCAAGGCGUACUUCUAUCGAGAUGGAAGACAUAUGUAAUGGUCAUCUCUCUCUCUCUCUCUCUCUCACAUCUGAUUUUUUGUUCUUGGUAACAGCGGUUGUCGUGAGCAAGAGGAGACGUCUCGACCCGUCGUCACCGGUCUCGAGCUUUCCCCCAUCACCACCGGUCUCGAUCUUUGCCCCCGUCACCACCGGUCUCGAGCUUUGCCCUCGUCACCACCGGUCUCGAGCUUGCCCCCGUCACCACCGGUCUCGAACUCGUCCCCGUCGUCAUCGCUAUCGCUGGUGCUGGGGAUGGAGACAGAACAGAGGAAGACAUCGAGAAGAGAGGCAAAGGAGGAAGGAGGAGGAGGCAGCAAAGAGAGUAGGUUUAGGGUUAAUUAGGUUUAGGUUAAUUAGGUUUAGGUUAAAUAUGUUUUGGUUAAUUAGAUUUGGGUUUAAUGUUUUUAAUUAGGUUUCUUCGUUAUUUGAAGUACUCCGAAAUUACCGAGUUUGUUUACAGGUAUCCAACAUUUCUAAUGUCGCAUAACAAAAUGAUGUUCUUGGCUAUUACAAAUUUUAGCCGGAUUAUUUUUGUAAUAUCUGGAUAAAAGCUAACACGUCCAUA